UCUCUCCCCGCAUGCCGCCGCAGAUUCCCCACUUUUCGCGAGCAACGUCCGUAAGUUCCAUGGCCGUUCUCCUCCUUUCUUCUAAGUUCUGGUAGUUGGGACUUGGGAGUGCCGAGUUCAUAGUAGUCGUGAUUGCAGAAUGAUCUAUCAUUAUCCCAAGUCAGGUGAGCGUAUGAACUUUUCUGAUACGUAAGG